AUGAACAAACCCAAAAGAUCGAAUGAGAAGAUUCAUCGUCAAUAUGUCUUAAUAUUAAUAUAUAUUAUGAUAUAUAAAAAUUUUUUAAUUUUAUAUUAUUAAAUUUUUUAUACAUAUAUAUAUUAUUUUAUUGUUUUACAUUGUCGGCGUGCACUUCUUCUCUAGUAGGACAUCGCGACCCGUUAGAUGUUGGUUUACGACCAAAUUGGGUAGACUUUAUAUAUUAAUUUAUUUUAAUAUAUAAAAACCAAAUUGUGUUUUCUAACCAACUAUUUGACGGUAAUCGUAUGGUAUUAAGUCGCAAUAUUAAUAUAUUUAUGCGUCCUCUACCCGUCGCAAGCGAGGCCUUUUUUAUUAGUUUACAGACUUUGUGCUGUCUAAUAAAAAUUGUGCCAGCUG
rnacentral:rRNA from 1 species